AAUCUUCCACAAUGGACGAAAGUCUGAUGGAGCAACGCCGCGUGAGUGAAGAAGGNUCNNGGAUCNUNAAGCUCUGUUGUAAGNNNNNAACAAGUACAGGUGAAACUGUCUGUCCCUUGACGGUACCUUCCUAGAAAGCCACGGCUAACUACGUGCCAGCAGCCGCGGUAAUACGUGUGGGGGAAGCGUUGUCCGGAAUUAUUGGGCGUAAAGCGCGCGCAGGCGGUUCUUUAAGUCUGAUGUGAAAGCCCACGGCUCAACCGUGGAGGGUCAUUGGAAACUGGAGGACUUGAGUACAGAAGAGGAAAGCGGAAUUCCACGUGUAGCGGUGGAAUGCGUAGAGAUGUGGAGGAACACCAGUGGCGAAGGCGGCUUUCUGGUCUGUAACUGACGCUGAGGCGCGAAAGCGUGGGGAGCAAACA
rnacentral:rRNA from 1 species